GCUGGUGUGGCUCAAAGGCAGAGCAGCGGUAUCGUAAACCGCAGGUUGUCGGUUCGAUUCCGACUACCAGCUCCA
rnacentral:tRNA from 1 species